GGUAGGAACCGAAAGGCGACCGACCUUCGGGAGCUUGCACAGGUGCUGCAUGGCUGUCGUCAGCUCGUGUCGUGAGAUGUUCGGUUAAGUCCGCUAACGAGCGCAACCCUCGCUGUGUGUUACAAGUGUCACACGGUACUGCCGGUCUUAAGCCGGAGGAAGGUGGGGAUGACGUCAAGUCAGCAUGGCCUUUAUGUCCUGGGCUACACACACGCUACAAUGGCCAACACAAUAGGUUGCUAGGCCGCGAGGUGGAGCCAAUCCUCAAAGUUGGUCUCAGUUCAGAUUGCAGGCUGCAACCCGCCUGCAUGAGGAUGGAGUUGCUAGUAACCGCAGGUCAGCUAUACUGCGGUGAAUACGUUCCCGGGGCUU
rnacentral:rRNA from 1 species